rnacentral:misc_RNA from 1 species
GUAGGUGAACCUGCGGAAGGAUCAAUAACAAAUCUUGGUGGUGGUGGUGUGUGGUGGUGGUGGUGGCGGAGAAGGGGGGGGGCGGGCUCUCUCCGGGGAGCGGGCUCUCUCUCCCCCCUCCUCCCCUCCUCCUCACCACAGCCGCCAGCCCACAUUGACUCGGGCCGUGUCCUUGGACACUGCGCCCUGAGCUCACAUUCACGCUUGUUGGGUUUGACUGAGUUUUGCACGGGUGUAUGCCUGUGCCAGU